UCACAGUGUGGUUUAAUUUAUACAGGUCUGGAAGGCGAGCGACCUGCAAGACUCACAAGAGGGGAAGCUGACAGAGACACCUACAGGCGGAGUGCUGUGCCCCCUGGUGCCGACAAGAAAGCCGAGGCUGGGGCUGGGUCAGCAACCGAAUUCCAGUUUAGAGGCGGAUUUGGUCGUGGACGUGGUCAGCCACCUCAGUAAAAUUGGAGGGGGGUUAUUUUGUGUUGAAUAAACCUGUAGCCAGAAAAC